GAUGAACGCUGGCGGCGUGCUUAACACAUGCAAGUCGAACGAUGAAGCCCAGCUUGCUGGGUGGAUUAGUGGCGAACGGGUGGGUAACACGUGAGUAACCUGCCCUUAACUCUGGGAUAAGCCUGGGAAACUGGGUCUAAUACCGGAUAGGAGCGCCUACCGCAUGGUGGGUGUUGGAAAGAUUUAUCGGUUUUGGAUGGACUCGCGGCCUAUCAGCUUGUUGGUGAGGUAAUGGCUCACCAAGGCGACGACGGGUAGCCGGCCUGAGAGGGUGACCGGCCACACUGGGACUGAGACACGGCCCAGACUCCUACGGGAGGCAGCAGUGGGGAAUAUUGCACAAUGGGCGAAAGCCUGAUGCAGCGACGCCGCGUGAGGGAUGACGGCCUUCGGGUUGUAAACCUCUUUCAGUAGGGAAGAAGCGAAAGUGACGGUACCUGCAGAAGAAGCACCGGCUAACUACGUG
rnacentral:rRNA from 1 species